AAGUCUCUUGAAAUGGAUUAUGGGAAAGCAAACACAAGAUGGCGGCCAAAACUGAAUCGCAGAAGAAAAGUCGUCUAGAUUGGCGAAAAGAGAAAGAGCUUGAGGAAGCGAGAAAGGCUGGUACAGCACCAGCAUUGACUGAUGAAGAAGGAAAGGAUAUUAAUCCUCAUAUUCCACAGUAUAUCUCUCAAGCUCCUUGGUACUAUGGCACCUCAAGACCAACCUUGAAACAUCAACGACCUCAAGAAGAAAAACAGAAACAAUUUUCAUCUUUAAAUGAGUGGUAUAACAGAGGAACUCAAGCUGUUGCCCCUGCUGCUACUAAGUUCAGGAAAGGAGCUUGUGAAAACUGUGGAGCAAUGACUCACAAGAAGAAACACUGUCUUGAGAGACCUAGAAGAGUUGGUGCCAAGUUCACUGGUGAUGAUAUCAAACCUGAUGAACAACUACAGCCACAACUUUCAUUUGAUUAUGAUGGAAAAAGAGACAGGUGGAAUGGUUACAAUGUUGAAGACUACAAGAAAGUUGUGGAGGAAUAUACCAAGUUAGAAAUGGCCAAACAACACUUAAAAGCGGAAAGGUUGGAGGAGGAAUUAGCAGAAGGAAAAAAGCCUGAAGUCGUGGACGAGCCUGACAGCGAGGAUGAAGAUAAGUAUGCAGACAGAGCUGAUAUGCCUGGACAAAAGUUUGAUACCAAAAGGUGAGCACUUUACAUGAACUUGGAAAGCUUGGGCCCAAAAAACAUUUAAAUGAAACAAAUUUUGCCAAAAAAAAGGCAGUGAAACAUUUUGGAGGGCUAUAACCCGAAGGAGGUAUUAUUUAAUAGCCACUGGCUUCCAUUGGCCGUUAAAAGCAUUUGUUUUUAGUUACUGGAUUUAGCUAGUCGCCAAUAUGUCAUCAGGUGCGUUAGUAAGUAACGUGUGUGACUUUUCCGAAGCUUUCGGAACAGUAAAUCUCUCGAGGUAAGUCCGAAAACACCUCAAGAUUUAAUAACUGAUUUUCGCCUUUUAAACGCGAAUUUAAAUGAAAAUAACUGCUUUUAAUUAGUAUCCUUUCAUGAAACAUCACAUUUUGAGUAAACAACUUUGAGUUAAGCGUCAAGUUUGGCAGAAACAUAACGCUAAGAACCCAGUUAUGAACCUCUACGAUCUCUCACUGCUGACCGCCACCAAGUCAAAGUGUAGGACAUUGCAGACUCGUUUUCCAACGUCCUUCAACAUGACGUGACGUGACAUUGCUUGGAUAAUCACAUCUGUUGGCUACAAUGUUUUCUCAGUUUUCUAUCUCUCUUUCUCAUAUGACCAGGCACAGCUUUCACCAAAUAUGCCAAAUUAUUGUUUUCGAAGAAUCUUGCAGGAGUUUGAAUGGUUUCGGAAAGGUUUUGAGUGGAAACACGUUGUUGUGUGUCUUAAGAGCAUCUGUCGAGGAAAUAAGAGUACAUUCUCAAAUUGAUGCUUAUUUCAUGUUUUUUUUUUUCAUCCUACCGGGAACCUGAUGUAAUGUUUGUUUUAUUAUUAAUACUUGUUUCAAUUACAGAUGGAAAUUGAACUAUUCACCUUAAGUCAGGAUUCUUCGACAGGAUUAUAAAAUGCUCUGCUGGCAAAAAGCCAUCUGAAGAUCGUUCAUACGGAAAUUCUGGAUUCUUUAUUAUUGAAAUACUGACAGAUCAGGGAUGUCUGCUUCAUAUACGCUUAUAUGCAGAAGAAUAAUUUCAGUGUCGUCUAUUUACUAUCUCUAGAGGAUGUCAUUGGUUUUGUGAAAAGUUUUUUUAACAUAUUGUAACGCGCGCGGGCGACAACAAUUUCCGCUCAAAGAGUCCAACAGCCAACGGUUUAAUUACUCGACUCUUAACUUUCAGCUUACUUGUACACGGCAAGUCUACUCACACACACAUAUCCUGUAUUACGAGUGCAUUGCGCAUUCAUUACUCACCAUAUAAUUGUCUCUUAGUCUUAGAACUUGUGCGAGCGUCACAUUUAAAUAUAACCAUUAUACAUCUUAGCACGUGCACCUUAGCUCGUGCAAUCCCUCUAUAAAUUUCAUUACAUUUUCCCCCCUCCAAUAAAAGAGAUGCGUCCUCGCAUCGAGGGUCAUUCUAAAGCCAACAACUCCAUUUUACAUAAUCAAAACAGACAACGACAAAGGAGAAGCGUUAAUAAAAAAAAUCCUUUCCGAAAAUACCUCUAAUGUAAUUUCGAACUGUUGAAAAUGUCUUACUUAAACUUAAAUGUAACUUAAAUGUAACUAUGAACCGUUCCAAAUGUCUUAAUCAAACUGAAAUGUUAACUCGUGACAAACAGCAAUGCUGAAAAAGCAUUCCUGGGUCCAACGUUCAAAAUUAUUGGCUGGACACUUGUCUUUUAUGAAACGGUUUUAGGCGGUCAUAGUGUACAAACUUGGGCUUUCCCUUGGGGGUCCUGUGGAUUUGAUAUACUAUGUCCUGUAACUUGCUUGGUAACUUGCCAAGGACCUUCCCAUGGAGUUUGUAGCUUCAGGCUUCGGCAUUUCUUGCUCUGAGGAUUGUACAACCACACCUUCUCCCCCUCUCGGUAGGAAUUUCCUCGAGAUCUUUGGUCAUAUAAUCGCGUUUGUCAUCAGCUUGCAAUGUUCAGAUUGUCCUGGGCAAGCUGGAGUACUUUGCUGACCUGUUCCCUCAGGUUACAGGCAAAUUCAGUGGAAUCUGGUGGUGUGACUUGAACCAGAGGACAACUGAACAUUAGAUCUACAGGUAGCCUAACAUCCUGUCCAAACAUUAGCUCAUUUGGUGUACAGCCAGUCCGGUCAGGGAAGCCAUGGGCAAAAGAGGUAGUAGCUGAUUCCAGUUCCGCUGAAUUACUUGGACAAAUUUGGAUAACGUAGCCUCCAAAUGUACGAUUUAGGUGUUCCACCAUUCCAUCUGAUUGUGGGUGCAUGCAAGGGUGUUGUCCGAGUCUUCGCGAUAUCCGGCAGCCUACACAUUUCCUUAAACAGCACCGAUUUGAAGUUACCUUCUUGGUCAGUGUGAAUCUGCAUGGGAACACCAGACCUAGGAAUAACCUCAGUGCCCAAGAGAUGUGCCACAGUCACGGCAGAUUGUUCAGGCAUGGCAAGCACCUCCAUCCAUUUCGAGAAAUCCUUAACCACUAAAAUGUACUACUUUCCUUGGUCUGUUUCCAGCAGAGGUCCGAAUACAUCAAUGGCGAGCCUCUCAAGUUAUGCGUCACAUUGUACACCUGUAGUGGGGCUUGAAACGUUUUCUGUGACUUUCUUUGAGAUGUGACUUAAGGCAGUUUGGGCACCAUGCCUUUACAUCACGGUUGCUUCCACUCGAGCAGUACCGUUGCUUGACAUGCCGCAGGGUCUCCACUCUCAGAUGACCAGCUGUCACUGAGUCAUGCAGAGACAACAACAUUUUCUCUUGAAGACUCUUAGGAAUGACCAAUUUUAUGCUUUGCUCUCGUUGGAGGCUUGCAGUACAGAAUGCCAUCCUUUAGGAUAAGUCUCUCAAACUGUGCCCAAUAGCCCUUAAGCUCUGGAAAAAGGGAAGAAAUUUGCUCCCACUUAGGUCGCCCCUGUACAGAUUCCAGCCAGCGUAUUACAGGUGAUAAAAUGGGGUCACAUCGUUGGUCAUUUUGUUGGUCUUCUCUUGUUAUUCCAUCUAUCCAGAGGUCCAUUUCUUGAGAGGAACCUGCAGCUAGAUUACGUCCCGACUUCCAUUCCUUGUAACUGCACCACAGAACGAAUCAUUCUCGGGCAUGUGCUUUGCCUCGAUUCUGUCUCUGCUGAAGUAUGCAAUUACUUUUUCAGUUCCAUUUUGAACUUGUGAAUGGACAGCUACGAUUGCCACACUACUUGCAUUCAUGUCCAGGAUAAACAUGUCAUUAAGGGUUGGGUAUGCCAAGACUGGAAUUGAGGCAAGAUUCUCCUUUAAAGUGCAGAAAGCCUUAUUACAGGACUCCAUUCAUAAGAAUUUUUUCCACUUUCAGUCAACUCAUGUAGCGGCUUAGCAAUGUGGGCAUAUUCAUAGAUGAAAUGGCAAUAAUAGGAUGUCAAGCCAACAAAAUUUCUAACUUCUGCAACUGAGCAUGGAACUGGUCAGGCACUGACAGCCUCUGAAUU
rnacentral:misc_RNA from 1 species